rnacentral:lncRNA from 1 species
UAUAUGUACACUCCUAGUCAGUCUGUACUGUGUUAAGUCAUUUUGCCCUAGCCCCUUCCAUUCCCGAUUCCUCUUCUCUGAGUUCUCUCGAGUCUCGACUCUCGAGUCUCGAGUCUCGACUCUGUCUUUCUCAAUUUCGCUCUCGCUAGUUGCCUUUCUCUAGUCUCCGAUUUAGUCUCCGGCGGUCCGGCCUCCGCGACUCCGCCUCUUAGUCUCUCAGCUCUCACGGAGUCACGGUCUCCCUUCGUUCGGCCUUCGUAAUCGCAGCUCCGCCGUCCGCGUCUCGGUGGCCGGUGGGUGGCAAUCGCCAGUUCUCUACUUCUCUUGCAAACUAUUUGGUACUAAUUACUAAAAGUUUUAACCUUUAUUUUUUCAAGUUUUCUACUGUUUGUGGUUGUGGUCCUUGUGGACAUAUGAAGCUAAAAGCCUAAUAUAUUUGUGUUUCCUUCGUAUUUGGUGGUAACCCGUAACAUCUAUUAGUGAUUCCUUGAAUUCAGGCUUUCCUUUGUCAAUAUGUGAAUUGUAUUAUCAAGAUUCAAGAUGACCUUUCGGGACGCCGGGAGUGUGUUGUUAAUUUGUGAGGAGUGAAAAAAAUAAUUUUUAACUUGAUGAAUUGCAAAUUUUGGAAUCCAAACACAGGCUACGUUUGGAUUGGAGUAAUGAAAGUGUAAAUGAAAUGACUCAUUCCUAUGGAAUAUAAAAAAUUGUGUUUGAUUACAAUUGGAAUGGAUUGAACCAUUCUUAUUUCUCCCAAAUUUAAGAAUUUUAUUCUUAGAAAAGGAAGAAUAUGGAAAAGUACCCAACUGUUCUACUAUUAUAUUUUAUUUUAACAAUUAGCCUUAUAUAAGUGUUUACUUGUGUGAUAUUCUAGCUUUUGAUGUUAAGAUUUCAGUAAAUUAAUUUGGGGUGUUUGGUUCUAUUUCCAUACAUGUUCUAUUUCUAUGUACUUCUUCUGUUUGAGGGGACAAAAUAAUACAUAACACAUUUUUUUGAAUUUGGCAAUACAAACAGUUAGGAGACUGGGUUGGUACUGAAAUGGCACCUUUAAGACAUCAAAAAACCUUAGGAUUAAACCGAGGAAAAGUACUGGAUUGUAACAUACAAAUGAAAAUAGUCAUCAAGCCUGUUACUGUGAUAAUACAUAUCAGCAUAUGUUGUCAAUUUGUCAUGCAGGUUACUGUGAUAAAGGCUGCUCUGCAAUUGCGUUGCCCUUAUUCCAUCUCAAGAACAACCAAAUCCACCCUCAAUCUGUGGACCAUGAUACCAUUACAGUUCUCUAAGGCCCGUCACAACCAUUUCAACUAUAUAUAUGUCUCCCUGGUAUAUCAAAGAGUAACUGAAAUGCUACCACAAACUGUCACACACUCCCCAGCUAAGGCAACCAUAUUUUUCCAUCAAGGCAUUGCAAGUUUCCUUGAGCUUAUUCAGUAUGGAAGGAUGAUUCAUAAGUAAAGUCUAUUAUCCGAAUCCUGAUAUAAUAUGUAGAAUAAAUCUUCAACCUAUUACACUUGAUUUUACUUAAUUUGAUUAUGUAGAAUAUGGAAGGAUGAUUCAUAAGUAAAGUCUAUUAUUAAGAAAUGGGUACUCUUGAUUUUUCUCAUUGGUUUAUUCUUGCUAGGUUGUUUUCUUCUUCUAAAGAUAUUUCCUUUAUUAUUACUAUUGUCUGUGUAUGUAUUUUGAUAUCUGUACAUGCAUCUCAAAGUAGCGUAAAAGUUUAAACAGUUCAGGUGAACAAUAAAGCUGGUAUUGGUAUCAAUAAAUGUUUCCCUGAUUUCAAUACUCUCUAAUCCAAGGAACACUCUGCCAUUAGGUAUAAGUUUAUUUCUAUUUUUAUUUUGUUUUACUUUCAUUACCCAUUUGUUGAAUUUAUUUUUCUUCAUUUCUUUUUAAUCUUAUUUGUAUUGCAUUUUAGUUAUAUAAUGAAUGAAUUAUAGACAAGAUGAAAUAGAUUUUGAAAGAAUCCGGGUUGGUGUUACUGUUGAGGCUCAAGGCAUUUUUGAUGUUUUGCCUAAAACGUAAUGCCUUUUCUAACCCCUUUUCUUAACUUCAUUAUUUUUUUUGUUCAGAUGUCAAUAGUCUUUUGCUAAUUUAAGCUUAGCCCUUUUGUUUCUCCACUUUUUCAUUUUUCUUUUAGUGGGAAAAUCUAGACUUUGUCUACUAGAACUAUAAUUGCAAAUCGCAUAAAUGUUGUGAUGGUUGAGGAUUGAUUGGUCCUCUAUGGUAAGAUCUUCAAGUUUGUGCUUGAUUACUUUCUACUUUCUACUUCACUAAAUACCACUGAAGUAUUAAUAUUAUAAUCCAUCAAGUAAAGUUUACUAAAACUAUUGGACUUGUUAGAAAUGUAUAGCACUAUAAUGAUCAGAGGUUCAUAUUGUUAGAUUGAGAUGGAUUUAAAAUCACCAUUGUUUCUUUGAGUAAAUUCAGUAGGUGAAGAAAACAAAUUAUAUUCCCUAAAAGAUUGAAGAGUUGUACACUUCUUGUUCCCUUUUAUGUUUGAUGGAUUUCUAGCCUAAGAACCUAGUAUGCAACCCUGCAUAUCAGGUUUAAUCCAUCAUCUACAUAUGACCAAACAUGGGAAAAUAUUUAGGUAAAAGGUUGAAUAACUUAAGGAUGAUUUGCAACAUUGCUCCAAAGUCUAUCUGUAGAUAUUCUUGCAGAGUAUUAUAGUUGCAUUUAGCUUAUGCUAUAUUUACUAAAAUGAAAUCCACCAGGGUUUACGUAGAAUCUUAACAACUUAACCUAAUUUGGGAAUAUGAUAUGUUGUCAACACACACCAUUUAAACCUUUUGUUGGCUUUGUGUGUUAUCACAAUUAAACAUGCAUACAUUUGUGCAGAACCUUAUCUUUUGAGUUUUAAAAGAUCGAAACACUUUACUCAAGUUCUACUUGGCAUAUUAGAUCUAAAUCAUAAAGCUUUUAGCAAGAUAUUUAAACUCAUGGUUCCAUACUUUGGAGAUUCGAUCAUCAAAUGUUACUCCACUAUAUGUUACUACAUUCCUUUUUGGCCAUAAUACUGGCUUUAAAAUGCAACCUCCAAAGCUUGUGGAUUAGGCUGGACUUGUUAUGAACCUCCAGCUUGCUGAGAUUUCAGUUGCAUUCAUCCUUUGUGAGAGUCGGUAAUUUUUAGUUAUAACUGGCAGAUUUUUGUUUCUAGCAGAUUUUUGGGCCUCAUAGUGGUUGGCAGCCAAUUCCAAUAAUCGAUGUUAUUAAAACAUGAGAAUAAAACUUCUUACUUAUAAGUAGGUUGAACGGAUAAAAGGUUCUGCUUGAUAUAAAUAUAUAUGUACAUGGACCCUAUAACGAAACAUAUAUCUUUCCAUAUUCGUGCUACUGUCACAAAUUUGUAAUAAAACAAAUCUUUAUUUAAUAAUAUUGGCUGGAAAAGUUAUCAUACGUUAUGUGUCAUGAAGCACCCAGUUUGGCAUAAAAUUUUGAAUCGCAAAAAUUGCAUCACUUGAAGUAGUAGAUAUUUUUAUUGCUACUAAGCAAUUUAGAGUUUUUGUAGCUACAGAUGUGGAUACGCAGAAUCCUUAUAUUAGUUAUGGUCAUAUGAGACCACCUUCUACUAGUAUGCAACAUUGCCUCUUUUUUUUGACGAACUUUUUGUUUUUUUUGUUGGAUGUGGAUUUUCUAAGUCUUUAUUUAGCUAAAUAGAAAUUUUCCUAUCUAAUGAGUGCAGUGGGAGCUGUAGUAGCUGGUAAUUUUGCCAUUUUGCUCCAUGUUAUUUGUGGUUCGUAAUUUUUAAGACCAAGUAUGUUGCAAUUGCCCUUUACAGCUCAUUUCCUUCAAUUCUCUGAUUGUUUUGAUAAUAAUUGUUAUUCUUGUCUAUCUUUAGGAAGCAUGGAACAAGUUUAACUCAGAGGAACUAAAGUUGAGGCUUUUUGGAUGCCAAAAAGUACAAAAUCUCAGUAAUAUUACCUAACAAUGUAAUUUAUGUUGCUAGCAAGUAAAUAUCUGUACAUCUCUAUUAUCUUUUCAGUUCUUUUAUUUAGUUGCUAGAUUUAGUAUAAGUUUUAAGGAAUUGGCAAAGAAUAGAUACUAGAGAAUGAAGAAAAGCUAUUGACUCAUAAUUUAGUACUAAAGGUUAGGAUGGUCAGAAUUGUAGGGAAAAGAUGGAAUACAAAGUAGUAAGUAAUUAACAUUUUAUCAAUUGUAGUAGAAACUACUAUUCAACAAAAGGGGAUAGACUUAUAAAUGGUCAAACUAACUCUUACAUUAGUCCUCUAGAUAAAUUAUAAAGGUUGCAAUACCCGCGGUCAGAAAAGAAGCUUUAUUGAGUAUUUUAUUUUAUGUAAAAACCAAAAUUAGAUAAUUGAAUGGAACAGUUAGCGUUGCUUGAUUUAUUUAGAAAGAAAUGGUUUUAAAUGAAAGUAUCUUCAUUUUAUCUUUUAGGAAUCCAUGCGAUAGAUUAUUUUGACUAUGAAAUGUAAUAUUUUAUUUGUUGUCUUCUUGCAGGUUGAAGGAGCCUCCAUUGAAGGUGGUUGGGGUCCUAGUAUUUGGGAUGUUUUUGGCAUACUAAAAGGUUUGCUUUUUUGCAACCAAUAUGAUAUCACUUAAAUUAUAACAAUAUAUUGGGUUUGAAAAUAUGGAUUUUAUGUUUAGCUUUCUAUUGAAGCUUAUUCUGCUCAUCUUUAUUUCUAGUCCAGGCAAUUAAUAAAGGUAUUCUUUUUUGCAACCUAUCUGAUAUCACUUAAAUUAUAACAAUAUCUUAGGUUUAAAAAUAUGGAUUUGAUGUUUCAGUUUCUAUUGGAGCUUAUUUUGUUCAUCUUUAUUUCUAGUACAUGCAAUAAAUGUUGUGGUGGAAGUAGUGCCUCUGGUGACCUAUUUGCUUCAUUUUUCUUAUUUGCUAUUAUUUUUAAAUAUGUGCAGGAAGACUGCUUUUACGACCUGCCUUACAAUACUGGGUAUCAAAUUUUCGUGUUACGUUUACGGAAGACAAGAGACGAAAUUAUGAAGUGUACUCUCUCUAUAUAUGUAGAUAUAUAUUUUGAUUGAAGAACUGUGGUAGCUUUAGAUGAUUAAUUGUAAAGAUAAUGAAUGAUUAUGUAGUGGAUGAUUUUAUUAAGUUAAUAAUAUUUUAGUUUUUUGUAUUUUUGUCA